rnacentral:rRNA from 1 species
AUUGAACGCUGGCGGCAGGCCUAACACAUGCAAGUCGAACGAGUGGCGGACGGGUGAGUAAUGUCUCGGAACCUGCCUGAUGGCGGGGGAUAACUACUGGAAACGGUGGCUAAUACCGCAUACCAUCGGAUGUGCCGAGAUGGGAUUAGCUAGUUGGUGGGGUAACGGCUCACCAAGGCAACGAUCCCUAGCUGGUCUGAGAGGAUGACCAGCCACACUGGAACUGAGACACGGCCCAGACUCCUACGGGAGGCAGCAGUGGGGAAUAUUGCACAAUGGGCGAAAGCCUGAUGCAGCCAUGCCGCGUGUAUGAAGAAGGCCUUCGGGUUGUAAAGUACUUUUAGCGGGGAGGCGUUAACCGCAGAAGAAGCACCGGCUAACUCCGUGCCAGCAGCCGCGGUAAUUC